AUUUUUGGAAGAACUGCGUCACCAGGAAGCUUGGCAUUAAUUCUGCAAAAGGCUCGAUAUACACUCAUAUGAGAUUCUCUCAUGAAGAUGCUACAAGGAAUUAUUGGCAAUUGAGCUAGAAAAUGAUAGUUAUUUAUAAUAUUUGUCGGUAUCAGUUUGUAGAGCACACACGCAACGAUUCAUAGAAUUUAUGAUGUUGCCUAUUUUGGAAUUAUGUAUAUGAUUUAAAAGAUUCGAUUGAUUAGUGUAUCUCCUUUUGUUUUUU